GAGAUGCUGCAAACUUAUGGCUAAGGGGUGCCCAGUCAGUGGUUGCUUCACUCAGUGCUGGGUGCCAGGGUCAGUGCUCACACAAUGAAGAUGACACAGAAGGAGAGGAAGACCAGGGCUGUGGCUCCAGCUCCCCCGACCGCCCCCAGCAACACUCCUGAUACAGGCCUCAUUUUGCCUGAGGAUGGAUUGGAAUUGUUUUGGUGAUCCAACUCCAAGAACUGGGUCUCUUCUCCUCCCACUUCCUAUAAGGCCCCCCACUUGGGUACCCUAAUCCCCCUUCCCAGAAACAAAGGGCAAGAAUGGGAGGGAGGAGGAAGGGACAACUCC
rnacentral:lncRNA from 1 species